rnacentral:tRNA from 1 species
CAUUAGAUGGCUGAAAGUAAGUAAUGGAAUUUUAAUCCAUCCUAUAGUAAAUUAACAAUUACUUCUAAUG